CUCCCGGUAGAUCUUGCCGGACCCGACUGCUAUCAGAGUGGGACUAAGCCAUGCGAGUCAACGCCGCAAGGCGUGGCAUACGGCUCAGUAACACGUAGUCAACAUGCCCAGGGGACGUGGAUAACCUCGGGAAACUGAGGAUAAACCGCGAUAGGCCAAGGUUUCUGGAAUGGACACUGGCUGAAACCUAUAUGGCCCCUGGAUUGGACUGCGGCCGAUCAGGCUGUUGGUGAGGUAAUGGCCCACCAAACCUGUAACCGGUACGGGCUUUGAGAGAAGGAGCCCGGAGAUGGGCACUGAGACAAGGGCCCAGGCCCUAUGGGGCGCAGCAGGCGCGAAACCUCUGCAAUAGGCGAAAGCUUGACAGGGUUACUCUGAGUGAUGUCCGCUAAGGGCAUCUUUUGGCACCUCUAAAAAUGGUGCAGAAUAAGGGGUGGGCAAGUCUGGUGUCAGCCGCCGCGGUAAUACCAGCACCCCGAGUGGUCGGGACGAUUAUUGGGCCUAAAGCAUCCGUAGCUUGUUCUGCAAGUCCUCCGUUAAAUCCACCUGCUCAACAGAUGGGCUGCGGGGGAUACUACAGGGCUAGGAGGCGGGAGAGGCAAACGGUACUCAGUGGGUAGGGGUAAAAUCCUCUGAUCCACUGAAGACCACCAGUGGCGAAGGCGGUUUGCCGGAACGCGCUCGACGGUGAGGGAUGAAAGCUGGGGGAGCAAACCGGAUUAGAUACCCGGGUAGUCCCAGCUGUAAACGAUGUAGACUCGGUGAUGGGUUGGCUUCGAGCCAACCCAGUGCCGCAGGGAAGCCGUUAAGUCUGCCGCCUGGGGCGUACGGUCGCAAGACUGAAACUUAAAGGAAUUGGCGGGGGAGCA
rnacentral:rRNA from 1 species